ensembl:snoRNA SNORD83A small nucleolar RNA U83B
GCUUGUCUAUGACGAGACCACGGAACACUGCGUCAGGCAUGACGUCCGACACGCAUGAGGAUACCUUCCAUGCUGCCUUCCUUCUGAGACAACC